rnacentral:rRNA from 1 species
GACGAACGCUGGCGGCGUGCCUAAUACAUGCAAGUAGAACGCUGAAGGAGGGGCUUGCUCUUCUGGAUGAGUUGCGAACGGGUGAGUAACGCGUAGGUAACCUGCCUGGUAGCGGGGGAUAACUAUUGGAAACGAUAGCUAAUACCGCAUAACAGUAGAUAUUGCAUGAUAUCUGCUUGAAAGGUGCAAAUGCAUCACUACCAGAUGGACCUGCGUUGUAUUAGCUAGUUGGUGAGGUAACGGCUCACCAAGGCGACGAUACAUAGCCGACCUGAGAGGGUGAUCGGCCACACUGGGACUGAGACACGGCCCAGACUCCUACGGGAGGCAGCAGUAGGGAAUCUUCGGCAAUGGACGGAAGUCUGACCGAGCAACGCCGCGUGAGUGAAGAAGGUUUUCGGAUCGUAAAGCUCUGUUGUAAGAGAAGAACGAGUGUGAGAGUGGAAAGUUCACACUGUGACGGUAUCUUACCAGAAAGGGACGGCUAACUACGUGCCAGCAGCCGCGGUAAUACGUAGGUCCCGAGCGUUGUCCGGAUUUAUUGGGCGUAAAGCGAGCGCAGGCGGUUUAGAUAAGUCUGAAGUUAUAGGCUGUGGCUUAACCAUACUACGCUUUGGAAACUGUUUAACUUGAGUGCAAGAGGGGAGAGUGGAAUUCCAUGUGUGCCUGUG